GACGAACGCUGGCGGCGUGCUUAACACAUGCAAGUCGAACGAAGUGGCGGACGGGUGAGUAACGCGUAAUCAACCUGCCCUUCAGAGGGGGUCAACAGUUGGAACCGACUGCUAUUACCGCAUACUGAAGGAGGGGAUUGCGUCUGAUUAGCUAGUCGGAGGGGUAACGGCCUACCAAGGCGAUGAGUGGUAGCCGGUCUGGGAGGAUGAACGGGCACAUCUGGAAUGAGGAACGGCCCAGACUCCUACGGGAGGGAGCAGUGGGGAAACUUCCGCAAUGGACGAAAGGCUGACGGAGCAACGCCGCGUGAGUGAUGACGGCCUUCGGGUUGUAAAGGUCUGUUAAUCGGGACGCGGUACCGGAAUAGAAAGCAACGGCUAACUACGUGCCAGCAGCCGCGGUAAUAC
rnacentral:rRNA from 1 species